rnacentral:rRNA from 1 species
UACGGAGGGUGCGAGCGUUGUCCGGAAUCAUUGGGCGUAAAGGGCGCGUAGGUGGCUCGCCAAGCGGGCGGUGAAAGCCUGGGGCUCAACCCCGGGUCGGCCGUGCGAACUGGCGAGCUGGAGCACUGUAGAGGCAGGCGGAAUUCCGGGUGUAGCGGUGGAAUGCGUAGAGAUCGGGAAGAACAUCAGUGGCGAAGGCGGCCUGCUGGGCUGUUGCUGACGCUGAGGCGCGACAGCGUGGGGAGCAAACAGG